UUGGUGAGUAAUGCGUGACCGACCUGCCCCAUGCACCGGAAUAGCUCCUGGAAACGGGUGGUAAUGCCGGAUGUUCCACAUGAGCGCAUGCGAGUGUGGGAAAGGCUUUUGCGGCAUGGGAUGGGGUCGCGUCCUAUCAGCUUGUUGGUGGGGUAACGGCCUACCAAGGCGUUGACGGGUAGCCGGCCUGAGAGGGCGACCGGCCACAUUGGGACUGAGAUACGGCCCAGACUCCUACGGGAGGCAGCAGUGGGGAAUAUUGCACAAUGGGCGCAAGCCUGAUGCAGCGACGCCGCGUGCGGGAUGGAGGCCUUCGGGUUGUAAACCGCUUUUGUUCAAGGGCAAGGCACGGUUUCGGCCGUGUUGAGUGGAUUGUUCGAAUAAGCACCGGCUAACUACGUGCCA
rnacentral:rRNA from 1 species